rnacentral:rRNA from 1 species
GACGAACGCUGGCGGCGUGCUUAACACAUGCAAGUCGAACGGCAAGGCCCUGCUAUUGUGGUGUGCUCGAGGGGCGAACGGGGGAGUAACACGUGAGUAACCUGCUCUUGACUUUGGGAUAACUUCAGGAAAGUGGGGCUAAUACCGUAUAGGAGCCCCUGCUGCAUGGUGGGGGUUGGAACGUCUCGGCGGGUGGGGAUGGACUGGCGGCUGAUCAGUUUGUUGGUGGGGUAGUGGCUGACCAAGGCUUUGACGGGUAGCCGGCUUGAGAGGGUGGACGGCGACCAGGGGACUGAGGGAGGGACCAGAGGGCAACGGGAGGCAGUGGGCGGGAAUAUGACACAGUCAGCGGACGUGUGAUACAGCAGCGCUGCGUGCGGGAUGACGGCCUUCGGGUUGAAAAACGCUUUAGGCUGUGACGAAGCGUGAGUGACGGUAAUGGGUAAAGAAGCACCGGCUAACUACGUG